rnacentral:rRNA from 1 species
UACGAGGGGGGCGAGCGUUGUUCGGAAUUAUUGGGCGUAAAGGGCGCGUAGGCGGUUUGGCAAGUCUGAUGUGAAAUCUAUGGGCUCAACUCAUAGUCUGCAUCGGAAACUGCCGGGCUUGAGUAUGGGAGAGGUGAGUGGAAUUCCUGGUGUAGCGGUGAAAUGCGUAGAUAUCAGGAGGAACACCUGUGGCGAAAGCGGCUCACUGGACCAUAACUGACGCUGAGGCACGAAAGCGUGGGGAGCAAACAGG